ensembl:lncRNA
CCUGGGACUUCCUUGAUGGUCCAGGGGUUAAGAAUCGGCCUUCCAAUGCCAGGGAAGUAGGUUCAACUCCCAAUUCGGGAACUCAGAUCCCGCAUGCCCUAGGGCAAGUAAGCCCGUGGGCCUGACACAGCCUAAUUAAUUGAUUUAAAAAACAAGAGCCCUUUCCCUAAAGAUGUGGUCCCACGGCUGUGCUGGAGAAGACAGUGAUAAUCUCUUGCUUCCCACCAAAGCCUGAUCUCUCUCCCCAGGAUCCAUCCUAAAGCGCAGGCUUUGUCUUCUCUGCACCCCCAGGCCAGCUCUGGGCUUUUCUCAGCCUUUAGCCCAACACCAACCUCCAUUACUCCUCAACUCUUUGCUAAGGCCUCAGCAGCUUCCCGGUGCCUCUGGAGCCCGGGGGGUGUGGAGAGGGACAGAGGAGCAUGACACCCUUGCCCAGAGAGGCGGUGGUUGCACUACACCGUGAAUGCACUGCAUGCCAUGGAGCUGUACACCUUAAAAUGGACACAAUGGACAGUUGUUUGCUGGCGCAGCAGAUCCAUUUACCAAGGGAAGGAGGACACAGAGCAAGAGUGACUGAUGGGCCAUACCUGAAGCCCAGCACAAGAGGGCUGCUCCAAGAAGCUUUUCCUGCUUCCAUCAGGCCUGCUUUAGAGACACUCAAUCCUGGAGUUGUAAAUAAUAAAGCUUGACAGCAGCUCAGACCCAAAGGGGUCUGAUCCAAAGGGUCAAACAACUUUUGUACAUUCUUUCUUCCCUCUGAAUCCUCAACAGCGCAGUGAGGCAGAUGUGACCAUCAGCUCCCUUUUCCAUGUGUGAAAACCAAGGUUCAGAUGUGUGCAGGGCUCCCCAAAGGCUCCCCCGGGAAGCAGCAGUAGAGUGGGGACCCAGACCCUUGGACCUCUGCCUCUAGAUCUCAAGAACUUUCCAUGACCGUCCCUUCUGGAAAGGCUGGGGUCCUGAGGGGAAUCACCCUCUGUCAGCCGUAGGCUCUUCCCCUCUGCCAUCCCUUCCUUCCCCUCCUCCCUCCAGGGCAGGCUGAUUGAGGGCAGGGGAGUGUGUUAAGAAACACUGGUCGCAUCACAGUAUGAUUAGUUGUUUAUUUCAUUAAAUGAUUAAC